rnacentral:rRNA from 1 species
UACAGAGGGUGCAAGCGUUGUUCGGAAUUACUGGGCGUAAAGCGCGUGUAGGCGGUUUGAUAAGUUGGGUGUGAAAUCCCUCGGCUUAACCGAGGAACUGCAUCCAAAACUAUCAGACUUGAGUAUCGGAGGGGGUGGCGGAAUUCCCGGUGUAGAGGUGAAAUUCGUAGAUAUCGGGAGGAACACCUGUGGCGAAGGCGGCCACCUGGAAGAUUACUGACGCUGAGACGCGAAAGCGUGGGGAGCAAACAGG